UUUAUUUCAAGCUCAAGUUAUUAGGGUAUUAGUAGUUAUGGCCGUAUGUUGUACUUUGUCUUUUUCAAAUUAUGCUAAUUUGAAUUUUUGAGUAAUGAGUUGUGACUAUUUUGCAUUUAUUUUGUUUAGUGAGGACUAUUGCUAUUGACUAUCGGACUCAAGUGGGUGUACCGUGCUAAUAGCGAUGCCUAGGCCCAAGUACUCUCAAAUCCAUAUCUCCGCGCCUUUGAAUGUUGUGGUACGUAACUGUGGCUUUAAAUUUUGUAUAUUUAUCUUGGGCCUUAAUUAACCUGAACUUGAAGUUCCCCGGGUUCAAUUUCAAGCUCAAGUUAAUUAGGUAUUAUUAGACAAGGCCUUAUGUUUUAAAUACGCUUUGGCCCUUUGUCAAAAUUAGCUGAUUUGAGUUUUUUGUGUAAUAUGUAGUGACUGUUUUUGCAUUUGGUCUGUUUUGCGAGGACUUUGCUAUUGACUAUACCCGUAUUCAACUUCAAGUCGGUAUUUAGGUACUUGUUUUUGUUGUUAUUAUUUUAUGUUGUUUUUUUAUUUAUAGCAUGAUUUUAAUGUUUGAGUACGAGUGAGUGACUGCCUUUGCUUUUUUGUUUUGUCGAGGACUAAUACUGUUGACUAUCGGGUUUAAAUUUCAUCAGCUCAAGUGUAUUAGGGUAAUUAUUAGUUAUUUCCGUAUGCUUUACUUUGUCUUUUUCAAAUAUGCUAAUUUGAAUUUUUGAGUAAUGAUUUGGCUGACUAUUUUCAUUGAUUUUUUGUUUAGUGAGGACUAUUGCUAUUGACUAUCCGGACUCAAGUUGGUGUUACCGUGGUAAAGCGAUGCCUGGCCCAAUACUCUCAACCAUAUCCCACCCUUUGAAUGUUGUGGUCGUAACUGAUGGCUUAAAUUUGUUGUCAUUUAUUCUUGGGCCUUAAUUAACCCUAACGUGAAUUUCCCCGGUUCAAUUUCAAGCGUCAUGUUAAUUAGGAAUUAUUAGACAAGGCCCUUUAUUUAAACUUUGUCCUUUUUACAAGUUAUCUGAUUUGAGUUUUGUUGUGUAAUAUGUAUGACUGUUUUUGCUUUGUUUUCGUUUUCGAGGAACUAUUCUCUUGACUACCGGAUUCAACUUCAGCUCGAGUUAUUUUAGGUACUUUUUGUUAGUACUUUAUGUUGUUUUUUUAUCUACAAGCAUGAUUUUAAAAUGUUUUGAGUAACGAGUAGUGACAGCUUUUUGCAUUUUGUUUUGUUUUGGCGAGGACUAAUACUGUUGACUAUCGGUUGUUAAUUUCAAGCUCGAAGUUAUUAGGGUAUUAUUAGUUAUGGCCGUUAUGUUGACUUGUCUUUUUCAAAUAUGCUAAUUGAUUUUUGAGUAAUGAGUUUGACAUUUUGCAUUAUUUUUGUUUAGUGAGGACUAUUGCUAUGGACUAUCGGGGACUGGAAUCAAGUGGGUGUACGUACUAAAUAGCGAUGCCUAGGCCCAAGUUCUCAAAUCCAUAUCUCCGCGCCUUUGAAUGUUUGUGGUACGUAACUGUUGACUUUAAAUUUUGUAAUUACUUGGGCCGUAAGUUACACCUGAACUGGAAGUCCCGGGUUCAAUUUCAAGCUCAAGUUAAUAGUAUUAUUAGACAGGACUUUAUGUUGUACUUGUAUUUUAAAAUUAUGACUGAUUUGAGUUUUUGUCUGUAGUAAGAUGUAGUGAACGUUUUUGCAUUGUCGUUUGCGAGGACUAUGCCCUAUUGACUACCGGAUUCAACUUAAAGUGCGAGUUAUUUAGGUUAACUUUUUGUUAGUACUUUAUGUGUGUUUUUAUUUAGAGACAUGAUUUAUGUUUGAGUAACGAGUAGUGACUGCUUGCAUUUUUUUGUUUUGCGUGAGGACUAAUUCUGUUGAAUAGUCGGGGUUUAAUUCAAGUCAAGUUAUUAGGGAUUAGUAGUUAUGGCCGCAUGUGUACUUGUCUUUUUCAAAUUAUGCCUAAUUGAAUUUUUGAGAGUAAUAGUGUGACUGUAUUUUGCCUUAUUUUGUUUAGUGAGGACUAAUGCUAUUGACUAUCGGAUCAAGUGGGUUUGUACCGUGCUAAUAGCGAUGCCUAAGGCCCAAAGUACUCUCAAAUCCAUAUACUCCGCGCCUUUGAAUGUUGUGGGGAGUACGUAAUGUGCUUUAAAUUUUGUUAUAUUAUCUUUGGCCUUAAUAACCUUGAACUGGAAGUUCCCGGGUUAAUUCAAGCUCAAGUUAUUAGGUAUAUUAGACAGGCCUUAUGUUGUGUACUUGUCUUUUUAAAAUUAUGCUGAUUUGAGUUUUUGUGUAAUAUGUAGUGACUGUUUUGCAUUUGUUCUGUUUUGCGAGGACUAUUGCUAUUGACUACCGGAUUCAACUUCAAGCUCGAGUUAUUUAGGUACUUUUUGUUAGUACUUUAUGUUGUUUUUUAUUUAUAGCAUGAUUUUAAUGUUUGAGUAACGAGUAGUGACUGCUUUGCAUUUUUUUUGUUUUGCGAGGACUAAUACUGUUGACUAUCGGGUUUAAUUUCAAGCUCAAGUUAUUAGGGUAUUAGUAGUUAUGGCCGUAUGCUGUACUUUGUCUUUUCCAAUAGCUAUUUGAAUUUUUGAGUAAUGAGUUGUGACUAUUUUGCAUUAUUUUGUUUUAGUGAGGACUAUUGCCUAUUGAUAUCGACUCAAGUGGGUGUACCGUGGUAAUAGCGCUGCCUAGGACCAAGUACUCUCAAACCAUAUCUCCACGCCUUAAUGUUGUGGUACUUAACUGUGGCUUUAAAUUUUGCUAUAUUUAUCUUGGGCCUUAAUUAACCUGAAACUUGAAGUCCACGGGUUCAAUUCAAGCUCAUUUAAUUAGGUAUAGUGACACGGGCCUUAUUAUUAAAAUUUGUCUUUAAAAUUAUGCUGAUUUGAGAUUUGGUUAAUAUGUAGUGACUGUUUUGCAUUUGUUCUGUUUUGCGAGGACUAUUGCUAUUGACUACCGGAUUCAACUUCAAGCUCGAGCUAUUUAGGUACUUUUUGUUAGUACUUUAUGUUGUUUUUUAUUUAUAGCAUGAUUUUAAUGUUUGAGUAACGUGUAGUGACUGCUUUGCAUUUUUUGUUUUGUUUUGCGAGGACUAAUACUGUUGACUAUCGGGUUUAAUUUCAAGCUCAAGUUAUUAGGGUAUUAGUAGUUAUGGCCGUAUGUGUACUUUGUCUUUUUCAAAUUACAGCUAUGUUGAAUUUGUGAGUACUGAGUUGCUGACUAUUUGCAUUGAUUUUGUUAUUUGAGGACUAUUGCUAUGACUAUCGGACCUCAAGUGGGUGUGUACCGUGCUAAUAGCGAUGCCUAGGCCAAAGUACUUCUCAAACCCAUAUCUCAAAGGCAUUUGAAUGUUGUUUUUACGAAACUGUGGCUUAAUUUUGUAUAUUUAUCUUGGGCCUUAAUUAACCUGAACUUGAAGUUUCCCGGGUUCAAUUUCAAGCUCAAGUUAAUUAGGAAUUAUUAGACAAGGCCUUAUGUUAAACUUUGUCUUUUUAAAAUUAUGCUGAUUUGAGUUUUUGUGUAAGAUGUAGUGACUGUUUUGCAUUUGUUCUGUUUUACGAGGACUAUUGCUAUUGACUACCGGAUUCAACUUAAAGUUCGAGUUAUUUAGGUACUUUUUGUUAGACUUGAUGUUGGUUUUAUUUACAGAAUGAUUUUAAUGUUGAGUAACGAGUAGUGAUGUUGCAUUUUUUUUUUUUGUUUUGCGAGGACUAGUUCUGUUGACUAUCGGGUUUAAUUCAAGCUCAAGUUUUAGGGUAUUAGUAGUUAUGGCCGUAUUAGGUUGUACUUUGUCCUUUUUCAAAUUACGCUAAUUUGGGAAUUUUGAGUAUGAGUUGUGACUAUUUUGCAGUUAUUUUGUUAGUGAGGACUAUUGCUAUGAACUAUCGGACUCAAGGGUGCUUGUACCGUGCUAAUAGCGAUGCCUGGGCCCAAGUAUUCGCAAAUCAAUAUUCUCCGCGCCUUUGAAUGUUUGUGGACGUAAAUGUUGCUUUAAAUUUUGGAUAUUUAUCUGGUCCUAAUUAACCUGAACUUGAAGUUCCCGGGUUGUUCAAUUUCAAGCUCAAGUUAUUAGGUAUUAUUAGACAGGCCUUAUGUUGUACUUUGUCGGUUUUAAAAAUUAUGCUGAUUUGAGUUUUUGUGUAAUAUGUAUGUGUGACGGGUUUGAUUUUGUCUGUUUUGCGAGACUAUGCUAGACUACCGGAUUCAACUAAAGCUCGCGAUUUAGGUACUUUUUGUUAGUACUUUAUGUGUUUUUUAUUUAUUGCAAUGAUUUUAAUGUUUGAGUAACGAGUUAGUAGUGACUGCGUUUGCAUUUUUUUUGUUUUGCGGAGGAGGACUUAAUAAUGUUGACUAUCGGGUUUAAUUUCAAGCCUCAAGUUAUUAGGGUAUAGUAGUUAUGGUCCGUAUUGCUGUACUUGUCUUUUUAAAAUUAUGGCUAAUUUGAAUUUUGAGUAAUAGUAAUGAGUUGUGGACGAUUUUGCAUUAUUUUGUUUAGUGAGGACUAUUGCUAUUGACUAUCGGACUCUCAAGUCGGGGUGUACCGUGGUAAUAGCGAUGCCUAGCCCAAGUACUCUCAAACAUAUCUCCACGCCUUUGAAUGUUGUCGGUACUUAACUGUGGCUUAAAUUUUGUAUAUUUAUCUUGGUAGCUUAAUUAACUGAACUUGAAGUUCCCGGGUUCACUUUCAAGAUCAUGUAAUUGAGGUAUUAUUAGACAAGGCCUAUAUAAACUUUGUCUUUUUAAAAUUAUGCUUGAUUUGAGUGUUUGGGUAAUAGCGUGACGUUUUGCAUUUGUUCUGUUUUGGCGGACUAUUGCACUAUUGACUACCGGAUUCAACUUCAAGCUCGAGCUAUUAGGUACUUUUUGUUAGUACUUAGUGAUUUUUAUUUAUAGAAUUGAUUUUAAUGUUUGAGUAACGAGUAGUGAUUGACUUUGCAUUUUUUUUGUUUUGCGAGCGGACUAAUUCUUGUUGACUAUCGGGUUUUUAAUUUCAAGCUCAAGUUAUUAGGGUUAUUAGUGUUAUGGCCGUAUGUUGUACUUUUGUCGUUUUCCAAUUAUGCUAAUUUGAAUUUUAAAGUAAUGAGUUUGUGACUCUUUUGCAUUUUUUUUGCUUAGUGAGGACUAUUGCUAGUGACUACGACUCCAGCAGUGGGUGUCCGUGCUAAUAGCGAUGCCUAGGCCCAAGUAACUCUCAAAUCCUAUCUCCACGCCUUUCAUUGUUGUGUGUACCAAACUGUGGCUUUAAAAAAUUUGUAUAUUUAUCUUGGGCCUUAAUUAACCUGAACUUGAAGUUUCCCGGGGUUCAAUUUCCAGCUCAAGUUAAUUAGGAAUUAUUAGACAAGGCCUUAUGUUGUCCUUUGUCUUUUUAAAUUACGCUGAUGUUUGUAGUUCUUUUUUCUGUGCCUUCUAAUCUGGACUUUAGUGUCAUCCCUCCUUGUGUUUGCUUGCAUUUGUUUCUUUUGUUUUGCAGGACUAUUGCUACUUCCCUUUAGAUCUUGCUUACCUUUCCCUAGCGUGCCUUUGCCAUCUUUAUGACCUUUUUCGUUCUCGCUAACCGUAUUUUUCCUUCUCAACUUCUAUACGGCAUCUCUCCUCCUUUUACCUUUCCUCCGAUGUUUUUUUUAGCGUACCCUUCCUCUUUUUUGUUCGGUACGCACCACUGACACUUCUUCUCUCGUGUGUGUUUAUUUCUUUUCGCUUUUUCGUUUUAUUACCUGUCGCUAGAUUUUUUGUUUGAGUACGAGUAGUGACUGCUUUGAGUGACUGACUGCUUUGCAUUUUUUUUUGUUUUGCGAGGCCUAAUCUGUUGACUAUCGGGUUUUAAUUUUCAAGCUCAGUUAUUAGGGUUUAGUAGUUAGGCCGCAUGUUGUACUUUGUCUUUUUCCAAAUUAUGCUAAUUUGAAUUUUUUGAUUAAUGAGUUGCGACUAUUUUUGCAUUUAUUUUGUUUGGGGGGGGGGUGAGGACUAUUGCUAUUGACUAUCGGGGACUGAGUGGGUUUACCGUGCUAAUAGCGAUGCCUAUGCCCAGUACUCUCAAAUCCAUAUUCUCCGCUCCUUUGAAUGUUGUGGUACUUAACUGUGGCGUUAAAUUUUGUCUAUUUAUCUUAGAGGCCUUAUUUAACCUUAACUUGAAGUUCCCCGGGUUUCAAUUUCAAGCUCAAGUUAAUUAGGUAUUAUUAGACAGGCCUUAUGUUGUCUUUUGUCGUUUUAAAUUAUGCUGAUUUUGAGUUUUUUGUGUAAUAUGUAUGACUGACUGUUUUGCAUUUGUUCUGUUUUGCGAGGACUAUUGCUUUGACUACCGCGGAUUCAACUGCAAGCUCGAGUUAUUUAUGUGUUAUUUUUUGUUAGUACUUUAUGUUUGUUUUUUAUUUUAAGCAUAUUUUAAUUAUGAAUACGGUAGUGACUGCUUUGCAUUUUUUUUGUUUUGCGAGGACUAAUACUGUUGACUAUCGGGUUUAAUUUCAAGCUCAAGUUAUUAGGGUAUUAGUAGUUAUGGCCGUAUGCUGUACUUUGUCUUUUUCAAAUUAUGCUAAUUUGAAUUUUUGAGUAAUGAGUUGUGACUAUUUUGCAUUUAUUUUGUUUAGUGAGGACUAUUGCUAUUGACUAUCGGACUCAAGUGGGUGUACCGUGGUAAUAGCGAUGCCUAGGCCCAAGUACUCUCAAAUCCAUAAUCCCAC
rnacentral:lncRNA from 1 species